CUUCCUUCGGUUGACUCCUCCUUCCUUGACCCACGGAAGCGGAAGCAAACCCCUCCUUCAAUCCAAUUGAAACGUGCGUCGGGAUCCCUCCUCAUUAAGCGGGUCGACCCGUCUCCGUUCCCCAUCUCCCGUCUGAGCAUCUCUCUCACCCCAAACGACACCCACCCGGCGACGGACGCAUCCGAAGUCAGCCGCCACUACGGUGGCGAUGGCGGGGUAGGAGCGCAAGGCAAUCGAUCUGGAGGAUGGGUGGAAUUUCAAGCAGAAGGGCAAAAUCUACAACCUCAUCAAUAUCCCCGAGCGCAAGCUAGAACUGCAGUUUAGUUCUACAGGAAAAAUUGGGAGCCUUCACCAUGGCCGCCAAUAUCCAUCUACGGGUACAUCUUGCUCCCUUACUAGCUGUACAAUAUUCUAGCCUAAUGAUGUGUUUAUUAAUCCCCAAUUCAUGGAUUCUUGCUUCCUAUCCUUUCAAUUUGUUCAUGUACCAGAUUCAAGGGGCAAUUACCUCACACAUCUUGAUCUGUCAUCUCCUUUUUCCGAGUCAGGUUUGAUGAAGAUUUGGAUAACUAGAUAGAUUUAUGUGGAAAUUCUGUACACUUCGCCCGAUGAUUUUCGCGGGCAGGCGAUAGCUACAUAUGCAGCCAAAUUAAUUUACCAUGCAUGUUCUGCAAUUUUUCAUUUAAUGAUUUUAUAUCGUAUAUGGGUUAAUGAUUUCCUUAUAUAUAAAUGCUUAUGAUAAGAUUGUGUGCGUUUGUAGAUAAGGCAUCACGAAUAGCCAUAGUUGAAUAAAAGCGUCAGGUAUGAGCUACUACAUUUUUUUAAUUGAUUAUAUAUUGUGAGAAUAGCUAGAGCGCUUGUGGCCAUACUGCUCCAUGUCUUAUGUACAAUCAAUAUUGUAUCAUGAUUGCACUGUAUGCCAAGUGAAUAUGUAGUCCGCCUAGAUUAAUGUUAGGAUGCAGUAUGUGCGUUAUGAUCCCAACUAGAAAUUGGACAAGAACUGUUUUUUUGGUCCGUGAUGGUUUUUUCUCUCAGUUAUGUAAAUACGUGAAAUAUUUGAAAGGUGUUUUUAUUAUUUCAAGUAAUGCGGUAUUUAGCAAUCCCAUUUCAUAGAACUAUUUACUUCCCCAUUGCAAAAGUGUCUAUUUGACAGGUAAGAAUAGACACGGUCUAGCAUCCAUUAGAUGUGAACCCGAUUUCAGUUUUGCCAAAUGUCUUUAGAACUUCAGUCAUCACGUUAAUUAACCCUUUUUAUCUCCAUAUAUAGGGCUAUGUCUGUCAGCAUUUUCAACUUAUGAAGCCGACAAGCUAACAUUCUUAUUUAUAAAUGAAAAUAGUGAAGCCUCUCCAUGACUUUUGAGGGGAAAAAAGGUCGGCCUACAUGUUUCUUAGUUUUGAAGGAUUGCUGCCGACCGCAAGUGUAUUGGUGGUCAUCUUAAGAUCUCACCCGGAGCAGCAUCUGUUUUCUAUCUCGCUGUCACCUAUGCCUUAAGAAUUCCAGUUUAUGCAUAUUUGUUGUAUUAGUUCUCACGCUGGACAUUCAACUUAUGGUAUAUCUUCUUUCAUGAUUAAACUUUGCCGGCCGUAUAGGACGGGUUAUACAAUCCUAUGUUGUAUUGAAUCAACUCCUGUGUGUAGGAACGUAGACCAUGGAAAAUGCGGCAUAACUGAAAAAGAACUAUUCUGUAGGAUACUUACACUUAGCCACCACUUAGCAGCUAAACCUCGAGCGCUUAAAUAUUUUUUGCAUUUUAACACAUGGUUCUCAUACUUAAUUGGUUGUGAAGGUCACAACUAUGUACAGCUGGUCAAUGAACUUGGUGGGUAAUAUAGAUCUUCCAAUUAACAAAAUUUGUUGAAUUAAAUGUAAAACGAAUAUAGUUCCUUUUUACAUUAUUUAUUAUUAUGUGGUUUUCCAGAUUUUUUUGGUCUAGGUAGUGAUGACUUCCUAAAUUUGCUCACCAUUUUUUUUCCUUCUUUUGGUCUCGCACAUGUAAUCUUAAAGGAUUGGAUUUACACCAAGGCAUAUCCAUCUCACUACAUUAGCCUCUCAAUUGCUUUCAUUGUGGAA